rnacentral:rRNA from 1 species
CCUACGGGUGGCAGCAGUGAGGAAUAUUGGUCAAUGGGCGCGAGUCUGAACCAGCCAAGUCGCGUGAAGGAUGACUGCCCUACGGGUUGUAAACUUCUUUUAUAAAGGAAUAAAGUUAGGCACGUGUGCCUUUUUGUAUGUACUUUAUGAAUAAGGAUCGGCUAACUCCGUGCCAGCAGCCGCGGUAAUACGGAGGAUCCGAGCGUUAUCCGGAUUUAUUGGGUUUAAAGGGAGCGUAGAUGGGUUGAUAAGUUAGUUGUGAAAGUUUGCGGCUUAACCGUAAAAUUGCCAUUGAUACUGGCAGUCUUGAGUAUAGUUGAGGUAGGCGGAAUUCGUGGUGUAGCGGUGAAAUGCUUAGAUAUCACGAAGAACUCCGAUUGCGAAGGCAGCUUACUAAACUGUAACUGACAUUGAGGCUCGAAAGUGUGGGUAUCAAACAGGAUUAGAUACCCCAGUAGUC